rnacentral:rRNA from 1 species
AAUGGGCGCAAGCCUGAUGGAGCGACGCCGCGUGGGGGAUGAAUGGCUUCGGCCCGUAAACCCCUGUCAUUUGCGAUCAACCGUUAUUAUUUAAAAGAUGAUAACCUGAUAGUAGCGAAAGAGGAAGGGACGGCUAACUCUGUGCCAGGAGCCGCGGUAAUACAGAGGUCCCAAGCGUUGUUCGGAUUCACUGGGCGUAAAGGGUGCGUAGGUGGCGGGGUAAGUCGGAUGUGAAAUCUCGGAGCUCAACUCCGAAAUGGCAUUGGAAACUACCCUGCUCGAGGAUUGGAGGGGGGACUGGAAUACUUGGUGUAGCAGUGAAAUGCGUAGAUAUCAAGUGGAACACCAGUGGCGAAGGCGAGUCCCUGGACAACUCCUGACACUGAGGCACGAAAGCUAGGGGAGCAAA